rnacentral:rRNA from 1 species
UACGUAGGGUGCGAGCGUUAAUCGGAAUUACUGGGCGUAAAGCGUGCGCAGGCGGUUCGUUAAGUCAGCUGUGAAAGCCCCGGGCUCAACCUGGGAAUUGCGGUUGAAACUGGCGAACUAGAAUCUGGCAGAGGGGGGUGGAAUUCCACGUGUAGCAGUGAAAUGCGUAGAAAUGUGGAGGAACACCGAUGGCGAAGGCAGCCCCCUGGGCUGAGAUUGACGCUCAGGCACGAAAGCGUGGGGAGCAAACAGG